GCCAAUCAUUUGCGGAAAUGUGAGUUAAAUAUUAAGAGAUCAAUAGUCAGGAAGAUGAACAUGUGCAACAUUUCAGGAAAAGUAGAGGUCAGACAUUUAAAACACUUUCCCAAUUGGGAAAGGACAUUAUCUUCUGUAACCACAAGGGGGCACUGCAAGAUAGUGUAUGAAGUGGGCUUGGAAACCACCUUUUCUGGUUUUGCUGUAACAGUAUUUGUAACAAAUGAACUGUAAGAGAAAAAGAACAAAUGGUACGUCU